UAUUCCACCAAUUCUGUAAAAUUAAAUCAUUCUCUCAAAUCUCAAAGAAUAAAAUACCGUGAGAGGGAGUUCUUUCUGCCAUUCGAUCAAGGAUUUUCUUUCGCAAGCGAGUUAAGGUGAAAUGAGAGUUUUCAAGUUAAGAAUAAUAAGAGAACGAGGUUGAGCGUGACGGGUGCGGUGGGUGUUGAGCAAGACCGUUG